UACGUAGGGUGCGAGCGUUGUCCGGAAUUAUUGGGCGUAAAGGACUCGUAGGCGGUUUGUCGCGUCGGGAGUGAAAACUCAGGGCUUAACCCUGAGCCUGCUUCCGAUACGGGCAGACUAGAGGUAUGCAGGGGAGAACGGAAUUCCUGGCGUAGCGGUGAAAUGCGCAGAUAUCAGGAGGAACACCGGUGGCGAAGGCGGUUCUCUGGGCAUUACCUGACGCUGAGGAGCGAAAGUGUGGGGAGCGAACAGG
rnacentral:rRNA from 1 species